AACUUGCUUCUUGGUCAUGAUGUUUGUGCAGGAAUAGAAACCCUGAGUAAGACAACAGGCUUCCACACCAGUGAGGGACUCCUUAGACCAUCUUGUCUUUUAGGCAUGCCUGUGAAGAAGUCAGCACCGCUGAAGACCAGUGUUCAUCACUUCAUGCUUCCUUACUGUGGAUGCAACGUGACCACCUGUCCCACAUCCCUACAGCUGUACCUUCACCACCGUCAUGGGCUGUAACCUCAAACUGCUUGGAUCCCAGACUGCAGGAAAAGGAGAAAGUCGGAAGAGAACUGAUUCUCAGUGCUCUCUACUUCCUGGACACAGAUGUGAUGUCACUAUCUCAACUUCCUGCCGACAUCCACCAUGACGGACUGCACCUGCAAACUUCGAGCCAACGUAAUCUUCCUCCCUUUUGCUUUUAUCUUGAUAUUUCACCCAGGUGGUGAGAAAGGGACUAAGACAGAGAGGGAGGGAGUCAGGUCACAGAGCCCUAGUCAUUUGAAGACAACCAGACAUAACAGGCUUCAGCAUAGGCCCGGGACAAAGGGAAUCAGAUGGGUAGGUAGUCCCAAAGGCUCCCAGCUCCCAGAAUCACAGACUGGGAGAAGACUGAAUGAAGUAUAGCAUUCACAAUUGGUCAGGUCAACAUCUAAAACACACAGGCCAGAGGGUUC
rnacentral:lncRNA from 1 species